AUGGGUCAGCAGUCCAAACGGACGCGCGCGCCGGCACCUCGUGAAGCCCCUCCACCAGCGCCUCUGCUCACCCCGCCGCCAGCGCAUCUGCUGGUCCCGCCGCCGGCGCAUCUGCUGGUCCCGCCGCCGGCGCAUCUGCUGGUCUCGCCGGCGUCUAAGUCCACCCUGCCACCGGGGAUCCCGUCGGCCUUCCCUUCAAAGCAGAGAACAAGCACUUGGAUCCCCCCAAGACCACAAGAGUCUCUGGCGGCUAGUCUGCAGCAACCAAGUGAAUCGGGUCCUAUGGCUCAAGGUCCUUGUUGGGCACCGCCUGCCUGCAUCGGUGACUCUACAUCACCUUGGUACAUGGCUGGCAAUAUGGACUACUCUGAUCCACAAGUAUGGGGAGUGGAUUCUCACCCACCUGGUGGUUACCUUAGUUACUUUCAGAACACGACAGGCCCCACACAACCUAUGCACAAUGGGAGUUCACCGCAACCAGUCAAUGCUGUCGAUGACACAAAUGGUGGUGAUUGUGGAAGGACUGAAAAAUGCUUGCUAUGGACAAAACAAGAAGAUCUUCGAUUGGUCAGUGCUUGGUUGAAUAAUUCCAAUGACCCAAUCCAAUCAAACUACAAGAAGAAUGAACAAUAUUGGAAAGAUGUUACUGCUGUCUACAACAGUACCACCCCAAAAAACAGGGAACGACUAGUCAAGCAAGUGAAAGAUCGCUUUGGGAGAAUUAAGAAAAGGGUUGCAUGGUUUUGUGCGAGUUAUAAGGAGGCUAAAUUUUUAAGCUUGACCCGGUUCCUUUUCCAUAUAGUGGUUGAAGGUUAUUGA
rnacentral:rRNA from 1 species